GUACCAUGCAUGUCCUGCAGCUCUGAUUUUUGCUGUGGUUACCGGCUGGUCCUUUUAAACGGAACAACAGCUACAGCCCGACUCAAAGAAGUUUGAGCACUUUUAUUGAAACUGUUGAACUAGGCUACUUCAGCAGUGAACUCCAAGAGUUAUCUGCUUCGUCUUCUUUACUCAGAGUUCGGACAUGAGGAUACUAGUUUUGGGAAUACUGCUGUUGACUGUCUGGGUCUCUGGGCAUGAUGUUACCAUCCAUGGCUUCCUAGGACAGGAAGUCCUCCUGCCAUGCAACUGCACCAAUGUCAAUUUGACCAGGGGCUUUCGGUGGCAGAAUGGCAAUAAAAUUGUUUUCCAAUACGAGUCAAAAUCCUCUAAAAGAGAGGUGGACAGAAUCACAACCUUUGUGAAAGAUGACAGAAAUAACUGCUCUAUUCUCCUGGCCAACAUCACAGCGGAGGACCAGGGGAGCUACAGAUGUUGCUUUUUUACACAAGACGAGGAUGCCUACGAACGAUUCUUUCUAUCUCUAAAAAUUUCUGCUAAAUUCGAUGUCUGCCAAAAGAAAUUAAGUGACCAGAGAUUCCAGUGUGAUGUAGAAGGACUGUAUGAAGGUGCUGAAAUUCUGUGGCAUUUGGAUGGACGGCCUCUCACAAACUCAUCCACAGUCAAAAUUAUUAACAAUAGCACAAAGGACGCUCAGCUCCACCGAUUUAAAAGUGAACUGAGGAGUAAUUCCAACAUAACUUCAAAUCUUACAUGCUCUGUCAGGACGGGAAACAUGCCACUAAACAUCACUGCACACUGUAAAGAGCCAGAAAGACGAACCAAUCCCCCAGAACAAAGAAAUGACCGGAAAUACUUCCUAACAAUUCCUUUCUUUCUGGUGCUCAUCCUCUUGGCUGCUAUUGCUUUCAAAUACUCAAGGCCUCCACAGAAGAGAGAAAUCUUACUGACUCAAGAUCCUACUCCUGAAAAUGUGACAUUAUUUUCACAUAUUGUCUAGUGUGACAAUAUGAAGCAUUUUCCACCAGACAAGAGUCUGUCAUGAGUGCCUGCAUGCUAAGGGGCAAUUUGCAGGCAUGUUGUGUCUUGCAUUCAUUCCACUAAUGGGAUUUUUUUGUUUCUCUGUGACAUUUUGUGAGUUUUAAAUGUUCAGGUGCUUACUCCUCAAACUCAAGGGCUGCUGAGUGUUGCCUUCUGUGAUAUGAAGGUCGAUGGCACGGACUGUAAUGAAAGCAUGUUUAUACACACUCCACAUUUGGUGGGACAAAGUUCCUGCAGGACAGCUAUCACCGCAGCCCUCCGCUGACCUGCGCUCAUGGCACACCGGAUAGACGGAAACCUCUCUCAGUUAUCUUUAAUAAAACACAAUCUUGUGAUGUCUCGUGUGGAUAAGAACUGAGUUCGACUUUUCUGUGGCUCUCACUGAAAGACGCUGAUUGUCGGAAAGCUUUUUUUGUAAAUAUACUUCUUUCUUUUGCCCCUGCCUCUCAAACAUUGUUCAUGUGGAAUACUCAUGUUGUAUAAAGGGUGGUUGGUGCCUGAUUGUGAAUGAAGCCACACUGAGGACAUAUCUGUAACGAAAAAAUAAAUAAAUCAAAGUUCAUAUAUUGUAUUUUUAUGAUAUUUCAGCAGUAGUAAAGUCGUGUUUUAUCACUCAUUUCCACAGGUUGUUUUAUGAAAGUGUGGCCAUAACAGAAAUGUGACAUUUAAAAUCACCUACAAACUGAAGAAUAGCAAACAUAUUUAUGAAAAAUCAUAAAUGUUUUGUAUGUUUUGAAUUAUGCCUUAAAACCGUUCAAAGUAUCACUUCUCUUGUGGGUUCUCAGUUUCAUUUCACCAGUAAAGUUAAAUUAAAAAAAACAUCAGCCCUAAGGAUUCUUGUCUGUUCAGCCCAUCCAGAUCUUCAACCAAAGGAAUUUUUUUUAUCAAGACUUCCUUCUGUGCCUUUAAUGUUCCUCAUUGUCUCUUGCUAGAUUUAAAAAACCCCACGUAAACAAUAACAAGGUAUGUGAUUGGCAAAGGGUCAAAAUCAAGCAAAACUCCCCACCCACACACUGAUACUCACACCCACACACACACACAUUACAGAUGGACAGAUGGAACUGGAUGAACUGCCAAGGAGUCAGAUUUCUCCACGGUGAUUAAAAAGUGAAAGUAAAAUGGAGGGUUAAGAGGAAGA